CUGUUAACCUGAGAAGAAUGCACAUCUCCAUUUUCCCCUGGAAAACCUUAUGGACACACUGCCAGGAAAGGACGUAUUGGAAGUGGGAUCCUUCUCUCUGCUCCAGUCUUGUCCGUGGAGCCUCAGAAGAAUGACUCUUACCUGUCCUUGGCACCUUGAGAAUUGCUGUGCGUUUGAUGAAGACCUCAGUCACACCUUCCUGGGCUAGAGUGGAGAGCUCAUUACAGCCAGAGGAGACAAGUGCAUGGG